AGCAUUUCCACCACCAACACAACGACAAACACGUGUAAGAGCAUCUUCAAAAUGCUCACCCUCAGACUCCUUAGGAAUCAAGUUGAGAACCUGACAUGACCAUGAAAACCAGAAAACCACCGGAAUAUUAAAUGUCAAAUUUCAAGAAUAAAAACAGAAGGAAUAAACCUUGUUCAGAAGGCACAGCAGAAACAAUUGCAUAUAAAAAGCCAUUCAUGUUGUAGAAUAGAGGGCAUGCUUUUGGGGGGGGGGGGGGGGUUCGGCACAACACACCUAGCCCAUCCAACCAAAAGAAAACUCAAUCAUUGAAUUUAAACCAAUUUCAAUUGUAACAGUAUCAGAUAAACUUAACUGUUCUACAGAACACCAUAGCCAAUAAUAGUCAAUAGAAAUUAGCCAGAUGCCAUUUCCAAUAAGGAAUAAUCACCAAUACAGACAUAAAGGGAUGAAGGCUAAUGGACCACUAAUUGUUCUCAGAGAGUGAGAGAACAAAAUUUAGAAGGGUCAAAAACAAAGACAUUCAGAAGAAGGGACUACCUGUUGAACGCUUCGUCGCUUAACAAUUCUAACUCCUAAGCAGAAGAUGCGCGCAUCACAUCCAGUUAAUACAAUCUUAUUUAUUCCGUCUUUUGUCCAUGGUGUGA
rnacentral:lncRNA from 1 species